rnacentral:rRNA from 2 species
AAUUGAUUUUAUGCUUGCAUAAAUGAUUUUUGGAUUCGGAGCGAGUGGCGAACUGGUGAGUAACACGUGGGUAACCUGCCCCGAAGCGGGGGAUAACAUUUGGAAACAAGUGCUAAUACCGCAUAAUUAGUUGGAACCGCAUGGUUCCAACUUGAAAGAUGGCUCUGCUAUCACUUUGGGAUGGACCCGCGCCGUAUUAGUUAGUUGGUGAGAUAAAAGCCCACCAAGACGAUGAUACGUAGCCGACCUGAGAGGGUAAUCGGCCACAUUGGGACUGAGACACGGCCCAGACUCCUACGGGAGGCAGCAGUAGGGAAUCUUCCACAAUGGACGAAAGUCUGAUGGAGCAACGCCGCGUGAGUGAUGAAGGUUUUCGGAUCGUAAAACUCUGUUGUUAAAGAAGAACAAGUGUUAGAGUAACUGUUAACACUUUGACGGUAUUUAACCAGAAAGCCACGGCUAACUACGUGCCAGCAGCCGCGGUAAUACGUAGGUGGCAAGCGUUGUCCGGAUUUAUUGGGCGUAAAGCGAGCGCAGGCGGUUUUGUAAGUCUGCUGUGAAAGCCCUCAGCUCAACUGAGGAAGUGCAGUGGAAACUACAAAACUYGAGUACAGAAGAGGAAAGUGGAACUCCAUGUGUAGCGGUGAAAUGCGUAGAUAUAUGGAAGAACACCAGUGGCGAAGGCGGCUUUCUGGUCUGUUACYGACGCUGAGGCUCGAAAGCAUGGGUAGCGAACAGGAUUAGAUACCCUGGUAGUCCAUGCCGUAAACGAUGAAUACUAGGUGUUGGAGGGUUUCCGCCCUUCAGUGCCGCAGCUAACGCAUUAAGUAUUCCGCCUGGGGAGUACGACCGCAAGGUUGAAACUCAAAGGAAUUGACGGGGGCCCGCACAAGUGGUGGAGCAUGUGGUUUAAUUCGAUGCUACGCGAAGAACCUUACCAGCUCUUGACAUCUUCUGCCAACCCAAGAGAUUGGGCGUUCCCUUCGGGGACAGAAUGACAGGUGGUGCAUGGUUGUCGUCAGCUCGUGUCGUGAGAUGUUGGGUUAAGUCCCGCAACGAGCGCAACCCUUAUUAUUAGUUGCCAGCAUUUAGUUGGGCACUCUAGUGAGACUGCCGGUGAUAAACCGGAGGAAGGUGGGGACGACGUCAAAUCAUCAUGCCCCUUAUGAGCUGGGCUACACACGUGCUACAAUGGAUGGUACAACGAGUCGCGAAACCGCGAGGUCAAGCUAAUCUCUUAAAGCCAUUCUCAGUUCGGAUUGCAGGCUGCAACUCGCCUGCAUGAA